rnacentral:rRNA from 1 species
CGAACGGUAACAGGAAGUGCUUGCACUUCGCUGACGAGUGGCGGACGGGUGAGUAAUGCUUGGGAACUUGCCUUUGCGAGGGGGAUAACAGUUGGAAACGACUGCUAAUACCGCAUAACGUCUACGGACCAAACGGGGCUUCGGCUCCGGCGCAAAGAGAGGCCCAAGUGAGAUUAGCUAGUUGGUAAGGUAAAGGCUUACCAAGGCAACGAUCUCUAGCUGUUCUGAGAGGAAGAUCAGCCACACUGGAACUGAGACACGGUCCAGACUCCUACGGGAGGCAGCAGUGGGGAAUAUUGCACAAUGGGGGAAACCCUGAUGCAGCCAUGCCGCGUGUGUGAAGAAGGCCUUCGGGUUGUAAAGCACUUUCAGUUGUGAGGAAAAGUUAGUAGUUAAUACCUGCUAGCCGUGACGUUAACAACAGAAGAAGCACCGGCUAACUCCGUGCCAGCAGCCGCGGUAAUACGGAGGGUGCGAGCGUUAAUCGGAAUUACUGGGCGUAAAGCGCACGCAGGCGGUUUGUUAAGCUAGAUGUGAAAGCCCCGGGCUCAACCUGGGAUGGUCAUUUAGAACUGGCAGACUAGAGUCUUGGAGAGGGGAGUGGAAUUCCAGGUGUAGCGGUGAAAUGCGUAGAUAUCUGGAGGAACAUCAGUGGCGAAGGCGACUCCCUGGCCAAAGACUGACGCUCAUGUGCGAAAGUGUGGGUAGCGAACAGGAUUAGAUACCCUGGUAGUCCACACC